CAUGACUUUGCCCGCAGAUGUACUUGGCUCUUUGCAGUGUCGCUACUGGCUCUUGCAUAGGACACAGGAAUUCUGAUCAAAUCUAUUUCAUGUAAUUCCCAGCAGAAAGAAAAUGUGCGGUGUGUUUAUAGUUGUGUUCCCUGCGUUACAGAGCAUACUCCUAACAGAAGGGCUCUUCUGUCCUGACCAGGCAUCGGUGAGAGCCUUUCAGGUCAGGCCCACCUGUCCCGGCCUCUCUGGACUCCACAGGCCGGGUUCGUCGACCAUGGCCUCUGUCAGUGCUGCUCAAGGGACUGGUCUGCCAGGAGGCGAGUUUGCACGAGAACAGAAGUCCUGUGCAGCAUGGCGCACGCCGUCAAGAGAGCACAGUAGAUGUGAGUCCUGGGCCAGAUCCCUUUAACCCGCCCUCAGGGGCUGCGGCGAGCGCUCCUACCAACUGCUUUGAUGAAUCCUCCUUGGCCUAUGCGGAGCUCCUGGCCAGAGAGACUGUACCUGCCUUCCACCAGGGGAAAUCGACUGACUUGGGGUACAAAGGGCACCCCUUGCCUCCAGGACUGAAGGUGCAUCUUGUAGAUCUUUGAGUCAGAUGAAGGAUGCACGAGAUCUCCUGCCUGCUAGAAGGAACAGCAGGGGCUCCAUCUCACAGCAGGAGAUCAGGACCUGAGCCAAAAUCAAGAAUCGAUGCUUAACCGACUGAGCCACCCAGGCGUCCCCCAUUCUCCACUCUUUCAUUUACCCCGUAAAUUAUCUUGGAAUGUUUGAAAUACUUAUUUUUAUCCAGACUAAAAGAAACUAGGAAUAUUUAUAAUUUUAAAAAAUCUGUUAUUUAAACUUUUCAUUAUCUUUAUUUGUCCACUAAGUUCUAAAAAUUGUUUGAGACAAGUUAAUAGAAGAAAAAGUACCAGAUCAUGUACCCCCCCCUCCCCAGCAGAGGCUUCCUCUGUCCUGUUGCCAGGACCAGGUCAUGUGGCCCCCUGACCACCGCGAGGUUGGGGAAGCAAGUUCGGGGAGAGGCUGUUGGAAACAACCAGAAAACCAAGAGUGUUUGCCCCCGGAUGUAAAUAGCAUGAAUCAGAUUCCUUUCUCCUUCAACCCAGGAGUCCUGCCUCGCCCACAGGACCCCAGCUCCCAGUAGCGUAAACGCAAUGGGCUUGUGGCCUCACGGCGCCGAGCCAAGAAGACGCGGGCAGGAGCGUGGCUUCCCUGCCUGCAUCUUGAAAGCUUCUCGAGGACCGGCUCUCAUCUCCGACUCUCCCUGGCGGCUUCAGCAUAACCUUGGUUAUGACAGUGAGCACCGCUGCGGCCGCCCCGGUCCGCUACCUCCCCCCGCAGAGACUCGACAGUCUGGGCUCCCGGAAGCUAUCGCAGAAGCGACACCGCGUCCUGCAGACGGGGACAGUUCAAGGCUGCCGAAGUGCCACUCUGUCCUCACAGGCCCCUGUGAGCAGCGAUUCCUCAGGCUGUGGCCGAGGCACCCCUGCACCCGGCCACGGUUCACACCCCACACCGUCUCAGGCG